rnacentral:rRNA from 1 species
UACGGGGGGAGCAAGCGUUGUUCGGAUUUACUGGGCGUAAAGGGCGCGUAGGCGGCCAGCACAAGUCAGUUGUGAAAUCUCCGAGCUUAACUCGGAAAGGUCAACUGAUACUGUGCGGCUAGAGUGCGGAAGGAGCAACUGGAAUUCUUGGUGUAGCGGUGAAAUGCGUAGAUAUCAGGAGGAACACCAGCGGCGAAGGCGGCGCUCUGGGCCGGAACUGACGCUGAGGAGCGAAAGCGUGGGUAGCAAACAGG